CAGCAGCCGCGGUAAUACGAAGGGGGCUAGCGUUGUUCGGAAUUACUGGGCGUAAAGCGCGCGCAGGCGGUUUUCCAAGUCAGUGGUGAAAGCCCGGAGCUCAACUCCGGAACUGCCAUUGAAACUGUUGAACUUGAGGACGAGAGAGGUGAGUGGAAUUCCCAGUGUAGAGGUGAAAUUCGUAGAUAUUGGGAAGAACACCGGUGGCGAAGGCGGCUCACUGGCUCGUUUCUGACGCUCAGGCGCGACAGCGUGGGGAUCAAACAGGAUUAGAUACCCCCGUAGUCCCUGUCUCUUAUAC
rnacentral:rRNA from 1 species